rnacentral:rRNA from 1 species
GACGAACGCUGGCGGCGUGCUUAACACAUGCAAGUCGAACGGAGAGGCCCUGCUUUUGUGGGGUGCUCGAGUGGCGAACGGGUGGGUAACACGUGAGUAACCUGCCCUUGACUUUGGGAUAACUUCAGGAAACUGGGGCUAAUACCGGAUAGGAGCUCCUGCUGCAUGGUGGGGGUUGGAAAGUUUCGGCGGUUGGGGAUAGACUCGCGGCUUAUCAGCUUGUUGGUGGGGUAGUGGCUUACCAAGGCUUUGACGGGUAGCCGGCCUGAGAGGGUGACCGGCCACAUUGGGACUGAGAUACGGCCCAGACUCCUACGGGAGGCAGCAGUGGGGAAUAUUGCACAAUGGGCGGAAGCCUGAUGCAGCAACGCCGCGUGCGGGAUGACGGCCUUCGGGUUGUAAACCGCUUUCGCCUGUGACGAAGCGUGAGUGACGGUAAUGGGUAAAGAAGCACCGGCUAACUACGUG